rnacentral:lncRNA from 1 species
CACCUCAACAAGCUCCUGCUUUUCCUUUCACCAGGGCAUUAGAAAGGUUCUGCUGCAAAUAUUUCAGAAACAAAGUAUUUAACUCUGAGAAUUGAUGUCAGUUUUCAGCAGGUCCUCCCCCUGCAUCUGGAUUUCUCAGCAGAAAUCUCUCAGGAAACAAUGACACAGAACCAGGAUUCACAUACUGCCUUGGUAAGCAACCCAGAAAAACAGCACUGUAACCUCUUGCAGUGAAAUUGGAAGAGCAAAAGGUAGAUUGCAGGUGGAGGUUUUUGGGAAAAGACAGGAAAACAGCCUGUAAGCAAAAGGGAAAAGAGAGGCACAAUAAAAAAUACACAUUUAGUAUUAAGUGUUCACCUGUGGCACAAGAUACAACUCCAUGCUUUGGUUCUUGCUCUAAGGGGAAGGAAGGACCAUUGGGAGGAUUAAAGAGCAACACCUAAUCUGAUGUUUAUUUCCUGGUAAUAUUCAUUUACUUUGCCUCUUGCUGUAAAGGACUUGGGGAAAGAAAAGAUCCCCAAACAUGUUUCAAUGUAAUUCUUCCCCCAGCUCAAGCAAUUUCCACCAGUUUUAACUUGGAUCUAUCUAUCCCAUGCCAAGCAUUAUUUCAUUACAAUGCUGUGUUCUGAGGCUGACUCAUCAGUCAAAUAACAGUUCUGUGAAAUAUCUGCAGGACUCCGUGGUGCCAGGCUGCAGAACACACUGCUGCUGUAAGAGCCAUACUAACUCCAGCUGCAAGUUUUGAUUAUAGGAAAAACAGCUAUUCCCACUUCAGACCAGUCACUCCUGAAAGAGCUCCUCAGCCCCAGCAUUCACCUGGAGGUGGUUGUGCAUACUCCAGAUGCAGUAACCUCAUAACCUCGCUGCUGCUCUGCUGCGGGCCCUGCACCGGGAGCAAAUUCCCACACAGAGACCAAGACACAUUAUUCUUACUUUUGGGUCAUAGCUACAUUAAUGAAAAGGACUGAAAUCCUUG